UACGUAGGUGGCAAGCGUUGUCCGGAUUUAUUGGGCGUAAAGGGAGCGCAGGUGGUUUCUUAAGUCUGAUGUGAAAGCCCACGGCUUAACCGUGGAGGGUCAUUGGAAACUGGGAAACUUGAGUACAGAAGAGGAAUGUGGAACUCCAUGUGUAGCGGUGGAAUGCGUAGAUAUAUGGAAGAACACCAGUGGCGAAGGCGACAUUCUGGUCUGUUACUGACACUGAGGCUCGAAAGCGUGGGGAGCAAAC
rnacentral:rRNA from 2 species